rnacentral:rRNA from 1 species
CCUACGGGUGGCAGCAGUCGAGAAUCAUUCACAAUGGGGGAAACCCUGAUGGUGCGACGCCGCGUGGGGGAAUGAAGGUCUUCGGAUUGUAAACCCCUGUCAUGUGGGAGCAAAUUAAAAAGAUAGUACCACAAGAGGAAGAGACGGCUAACUCUGUGCCAGCAGCCGCGGUAAUACAGAGGUCUCAAGCGUUGUUCGGAAUCACUGGGCGUAAAGCGUGCGUAGGCUGUUUCGUAAGUCGUGUGUGAAAGGCGCGGGCUCAACCCGCGGACGGCACAUGAUACUGCGAGACUAGAGUAAGGGAGGGGGAACCGGAAUUCUCGGUGUAGCAGUGAAAUGCGUAGAUAGCGAGAGGAACACUCGUGGCGAAGGCGGGUUCCUGGACAUUAACUGACGCUGAGGCACGAAGGCCAGGGGAGCGAAAGGGAUUAGAUACCCUAGUAGUC